ACGACCCGCUAGGUCUAUUUCCUCCCCACCCAGCCCCUUGUCGUUGUCGCCUCCACCGCCAGUCCUCGACGCGUCCCCACCUAGGGCACACCGGUGCCCGCUCUUCGUCAGGCGAGACCGCCGGAUCCCACGGCGCCGACUGCAGGACGAGCGAUCCGCUCCCACUCGACAGGCAACAGUUCCGCUAUCACGCCAAGUUGUGUUUCAAGUUUGAACGUUCUAGCAUUGUCCUUUUAAGGCUUUCAGCUGGCUGAUGUAUACUCUUGAAAUAAAAGUCCAGAAGUCUGCUUCAAGCCACUCGUUAUUUAUUCAAUGAUUCGCCACACAGUAGAGUACAAUUGGACAUAAAUACUUUAUACUUGCAUAUUUCAACCGUGUGGUGACAAUGAGAUGCACGAAUAAUUUCGUUUGCCAGUUCCAACACAGGUUGUCUGCAAGAUCCAAAAGGGGCUGCUCCCCCAGAUGUUGGGCAGCUGUUUUGGGCACGUCUUGCUGCUGAACCUGUAGGGUUAGAGCGAUGUCGCUCAGGUUCUUUUAUGUAUGCGGUUAACUUAUGCAAAGACACUAUGAUUUCCAUGAAUGAAACUGGGGGACAGCCCCUUUUGAUAAAAAAAAAAUUAGUAUCAGGAACAAACGGUAGGUUUCACGACAUGAAUUUCGCUGCUGCAAAUAGACAGAUAGUCCUCCUUUUCAAAAGAAACUGACAUCUGACAGUAACAGCUGAAUUGAACAUGCGAACAGUGGGAUGACAGUUUAUGGCUUCAUGCAUUGCUUGAUUCAAAGAGUGAAUGCAUAAUUAUCUAUGCAUUUGGUUUUCUUAACAAUAAUUAGCAUGACUGGAGAAUGGAGACUUCAGCACUUCACAGAUUUAUCUCUCGGGGAGCCACCUCUUAUUCUACUGUCCCUUAGCGGCAUAAAUUUGGUCAAGACUUGGCGUCACUCUUCCAGUGAAUCUUUCCACUGAUGCCCUAGAUAUCGUGGCGCCCAUGGGCAACGCCUCCCGACGAGGGACAGAGGGCUCUACGCCUCUAGCUCCCACGACAGCUCUGUCUUCUUCUGUCACGCACUCACGCCUCGUUCAUCCAUUUCUCCUUGUAAUCUGAUGUAAAACUGCCCAGUUGUUUUGAGUAAUAUAACAAACGGUGGGGAACCUCCCCCUGUCAUUCUCGAA